rnacentral:rRNA from 1 species
GACGUAGGGCGCGAGCGUUGUCCGGAUUUAUUGGGCGUAAAGAGCUCGUAGGCGGCCUGUCGCGUCGGCUGUGAAAACCCGGGGCUCAACCCCGGGCCUGCAGUCGAUACGGGCAGGCUAGAGUCCGGUAGGGGAGACUGGAAUUCCUGGUGUAGCGGUGAAAUGCGCAGAUAUCAGGAGGAACACCGGUGGCGAAGGCGGGUCUCUGGGCCGGAACUGACGCUAAGGAGCGAAAGCGUGGGGAGCGAACAGG